CAGGCACUGCCCUUUCCGUGAAUGGUUGCAUUCCGGUGGCCUUAAGCAAUUCCGAGGGAGUUGGCUCUGUCCGGACCCUGGUCCGGUUACCUGACGCCCACCUGUAUAUACAGGUCCUCGGGAAUGAGAUAACCCCACGUCUGUGGUGGUCCUGCC
rnacentral:misc_RNA from 1 species